rnacentral:lncRNA from 1 species
CAAGCCACCCUAGAGGUUCCCAAAAGAUUAAGGUCUUGUUUAGAUGUGAAAAGUUUUUGGAUUUCGUUACUGUAGCACUUCGUUUGUUUGUGGCAAAUAUUGUCCAAUCAUGAACUAACUAGGAUCAAAAGAUUCGUCUCAUGAUUUACAGGUAAACUGUGUAAUUAGUUUUUAUUUUUAUUUAUAUUUAAUGCUUCAUGCAUGUGCCGCAAGAUUCGAUGUGACGGAAAAUUUUAAAAACUUUUUGGUUUUUGGGGUGAACUAAACAAGGCAGAAAACCAAUAAAAACAAAACCUUGCGUCUGUCUCGCAAAAAAACAAAUACCUGUCUUAAAGAAAACUUAGCCUCGCACAUUUUUUUAGAUAAAGGAUAGAAACUAUCCGGCUUCAUCUACCCAUAGGUAGAAUCAGGCCAAAUUAAUACAACGGGAGAAAAAAAGAAGAUAAAAAACGGAAAAAUUACAUCCCCAACAAGGGCUCAAGUAGUCCUAUGCAACAAACCGCCUUGAUCCAAGAUGUCAACUCCUCUGGAAUACGAUCACCAGCGUCAAGACAAAGUCGUCGAAACACGUUUGUCACACCUUAAAAAAAUAGUGAAAACGUUGGACACCGACCACCAUUGAAGAUUGGAUGCUUCUUCCAAGGCAACAACGCAAAGAACUUGGAACAGACAUAGGCCUGCCAUCCAAACUCCGAGCAGUUAUGCCAACGAACACCUCCUUCGACAAGAACUGCACAACGAAGAGACGUGGUUCCCGGCC